GGGUAAGUCUUGUACGACCAGCUCCUGUCGAAUCCUCCAGGGUCGGAAGGCAGCAAAGGUAGGCGGUCGUAGCGGUGUGAUACAAGUAGCUUACCCUUU
rnacentral:SRP_RNA from 1 species